rnacentral:rRNA from 1 species
GAUGAACGCUGGCGGCGUGCCUAAUACAUGCAAGUCGAGCGAACGGACGAGAAGCUUGCUUCUCUGAUGUUAGCGGCGGACGGGUGAGUAACACGUGGAUAACCUACCUAUAAGACUGGGAUAACUUCGGGAAACCGGAGCUAAUACCGGAUAAUAUUUUGAACCGCAUGGUUCAAAAGUGAAAGACGGUCUUGCUGUCACUUAUAGAUGGAUCCGCGCUGCAUUAGCUAGUUGGUAAGGUAACGGCUUACCAAGGCAACGAUGCAUAGCCGACCUGAGAGGGUGAUCGGCCACACUGGAACUGAGACACGGUCCAGCCUCCUACGGGAGGCAGCAGUAGGGAAUCUUCCGCAAUGGGCGAAAGCUGACGGGGCAACGCCGCGUGAGUGAUGAAGGUCUUCGGAUCGUAAAACUCUGUUAUUAGGGAAGAACAUAUGUGUAAGUAACUGUGCACAUCUUGACGGUACCUAAUCAGAAAGCCACGGCUAACUACGUG